GCUGAGGCAAAGAGCUGUGAUUACUCUCAUGUCGCUAAUUGUGCUGACGAACAUACCAAGGCGCAGGCGAGCGUUGUUCUGUAGCAGCACAAAUGAAAGUUCACUCACUUGCACUGUGUUAGAGAGGAGGCAGAAAUCUCUGCGACAGAUCAACGACUCUAAAACCUGGAACUAUCUACAUACUACGACAGGAAAUUAGAAUAUGCAAAAUUGGACAGCGGUGAGAGAGUAGCCAUGUGCCACAAUCACACACGGGUGGCUGGUACUCUACAUUGAGCAGAGUCAGUUCGGGCGAGUGGAAAAUCUCGUAAAGGGUCCCAACCAACUCAGCUGCUCGAGCGUGACCUACUGGGAGGAGACCUCGGGGCAGAACCAGGACAUGCUGAAGGGGACUAAAUCUCCCAGGUGGCCUGUGAGCGCCAUGGAGAAAUCUGCUGUACUUGAUGCCGUCACAACCCAUAUCCAGAUCUUGUUAGUGUUAAGAGUAGUGACAGAUGGGUGGAUGGGCUUAUGCUCAAUAGUGUCUGGUGGCUUCAUUUACUGUAGCUAUGUGCCCCAAAUGGUAAGAUAAUAGUUUAUUAUUAAUUAGACAGUAUCUUUGAGUAUUUUUACACUGACAAUCAACGAAAUUCCCCCAAAAGUCCUUUAGUUGAGUCAUUUUGAAGUUAUUCAAAACACAUAUAUUUUUAGUUUUGAGGGAAAAACAAUGUAUGCUUUGAGAUAUUAAAUCAAACCCCCAGUGUAUUGUAUGCAAGGUUUUUAUUCGUUUUUCCCUAUAUCAUGACUCCCCCUUGUAAGCACGUAAGGCCAAAUGCAACUAUUUCUUUAAGUUUUUGUUUUUUAAGGUAGACUUACAUAAGGGGCAUUAAUACGCCAUAGAGCUCCUUCUUUCAUAUAAGAUUUGCUUAUAUUAUGAGUACAGUAUAUGAGAGUACAAUGAA